rnacentral:miRNA from 1 species
GAGGCUUGGAACUGAGUCCUGGGACAGCGUGUCUCAGUUUCCCUCCUGCGCAUCUUCUGACUCUGAGCUGUGUUCGCAGCU